rnacentral:rRNA from 1 species
GCCGGCAGCUAGCUCUCUGCAACUCUCACAUGGUCGCCCACUGAAGCUAAGCAGGGCUGCGCCUGGUCAGUGCCUGCAUGGGAGACCACAUGGGAAAGCUAGGUUGCUGCCGGAA